rnacentral:misc_RNA from 1 species
AACAUACCUAAACGUUGCCUCGGCGGGAACAGACGGCCCCGUGAAAACGGGCCGCCCCCGCCAGAGGACCCCCUAACUCUGUUUCUAUAAUGUUUCUUCUGAGUAAAACAAGCAAAUGAAUUAAAACUUUCAACAACGGAUCUCUUGGCUCUGGCAUCGAUGAAGAACGCAGCGAAAUGCGAUAAGUAAUGUGAAUUGCAGAAUUCAGUGAAUCAUCGAAUCUUUGAACGCACAUUGCGCCCGCCAGUAUUCUGGCGGGCAUGCCUGUUCGAGCGUCAUUACAACCCUCAGGCCCCCGGGCCUGGCGUUGGGGAUCGGCGGAGGCCCUCCGUGGGACACGCCGUCCCCCAAAUACAGUGGCGGUCCCGCCGCAGCUUCCAUCGCGUAGUAGCUAACACCUCGCGACUGGAGAGCGGCGCGGCCACGCCGUAAAACCCCCAACUCUUCUGAA